GAUGAAGAACGCAGCGAAAUGCGAUAAGUAAUGUGAAUUGCAGAAUUCAGUGAAUCAUCGAAUCUUUGAACGCACAUUGCGCCCGCCAGUAUUCUGGCGGGCAUGCCUGUUCGAGCGUCAUUACAACCCUCAGGCCCCCGGGCCUGGCGUAGGGGAUCGGCGGAGCCCCCCGUGGGCACACGCCGUCCCCCAAAUGCAGUGGCGGUCCCGCCGCAGCUUCCAUCGCGUAGUAGCUAACACCUCGCGACUGGAGAGCGGCGCGGCCACGCCGUAAAACACCCAACUCUUCUGAAGUUGACCUCGAAUCAGGUAGGAAUACCCGCUGAACUUAAGCAUAUCAAUAAGCGGAGGA
rnacentral:misc_RNA from 1 species